rnacentral:misc_RNA from 1 species
GAAUACAAACGCUUGAGUGUCUCUGCCUUGUGCAAGCCUCUCGCACCCUUCACAUCCAUAACACCUGUGCACUGUAAGAUGAAAGAAACCCUGGAUUGGGGCGCAAGCUUCUACCUGGGGUCUUCCGACGUCUGACCUUUUCAUACAAACAAUUAUAUGUAACAAAUGUAGUCUUAUUAUAACAAAAUAAAACUUUCAACAACGGAUCUCUUGGCUCG